rnacentral:rRNA from 1 species
UACCUAUAAGACUGGGAUAACUUCGGGAAACCGGAGCUAAUACCGGAUAAUAUUUUAAACCGCAUGGUUCAAAAGUGAAAGACGGUCUUGCUGUCACUUAUAGAUGGAUCCGCGCUGCAUUAGCUAGUUGGUAAGGUAACGGCUUACCAAGGCAACGAUGCAUAGCCGACCUGAGAGGGUGAUCGGCCACACUGGAACUGAGACACGGUCCAG